UUUGUUUUCACUUUUUUCACCCAAGGACUUCUGCUUUAUCCCUGUGUCAUCCUGGGCACACUCUGAGCACAAGAAUUAGACCCUUCUGUUGACAUCCAUUAAAAGUUUUAUUACCCUCCAGGUGUUAGAUUUCCAUACUGAUAGCUGAG